rnacentral:rRNA from 1 species
AUUGAACGCUGGCGGCAGGCUUAACACAUGCAAGUCGAGCGGAGAUGAGGUGCUUGCACCUUAUCUUAGCGGUGGACGGGUGAGUAAUGCUUAGGAAUCUGCCUAUUAGUGGGGGACAACAUUCCGAAAGGAAUGCUAAUACCGCAUACGUCCUACGGGAGAAAGCAGGGGAUCUUCGGACCUUGCGCUAAUAGAUGAGCCUAAGUCGGAUUAGCUAGUUGGUGGGGUAAAGGCCUACCAAGGCGACGAUCUGUAGCGGGUCUGAGAGGAUGAUCCGCCACACAGGGACGGAGACACGGCCCAGACUCCUACGGGAGGCAGCAGUGGGGAAUAUUGGACAAUGGGGGGAACCCUGAUCCAGCCAUGCCGCGUGUGUGAAGAAGGCCUUAUGGUUGUAAAGCACUUUAAGCGAGGAGGAGGCUACUGAGACUAAUACUCUUGGAUAGUGGACGUUACUCGCAGAAUAAGCACCGGCUAACUCUGUGCCAGCAGCCGCCGUAA